UACGUAGGUGGCAAGCGUUGUCCGGAUUUACUGGGUGUAAAGGGCGUGCAGCCGGAGAGACAAGUCAGAUGUGAAAUCCACGGGCUCAACCCGUGAACUGCAUUUGAAACUGUUUCCCUUGAGUGUCGGAGAGGUAAUCGGAAUUCCUUGUGUAGCGGUGAAAUGCGUAGAUAUAAGGAAGAACACCAGUGGCGAAGGCGGAUUACUGGACGAUAACUGACGGUGAGGCGCGAAAGCGUGGGGAGCAAA
rnacentral:rRNA from 1 species